UUUACUGGUGGUGUGGUGAUAUUCUUCCUCUAAAGACCAAGUCGCGUCUCUGUUUUUUUAUCUAUUUCAACCCAUCAUCGUUUUCACUUGUUAAUUUUUCUAGGGUUUCGUUUCUAAACUGAAUUGUUCAUAGCUUUUUCAUGUUCAAUGAAAAGCUUCGUUUUUUAGGUUUUGGAUGAUGCUAAUUUUAUCGAUCAGUGAUGGUUUUGAUGGAUACGCUUCUUCUCUGUGCCUAAUUUCUUCUAGGGUGUUUCGGAAGAGAAUUAUGAUCGGAUCAUCACGCAUUCUUCUCCAGGCUAUGUCUCACAUGUUCCUUGAUCUAAACGUAUCUCCAGGGUUCGGUAAUUUUUUUUUUUCUAGUUAUAUGUUACUUACUUGUCGUUUUUUUUUUGUUUUGUUGGUUCAGAUUUGUGGAGGAGGUUGCUAUGAUUGAUCGGUGAUGGCUUUGACCGAUCGUUGUCACUCUGAUUCAUGUUAUUCUUGUAGCUAGGGGUUUUGGAUGAUGCUUUUAUCGAUGAGAGUGAUGGCUACAUCUCUGUGCAGCUAACCGUCUUCAAGGGUUGUGGAGGAUCGGUCGGUGAUGCUUUUGAUGGAUCCUUUUUGUUUACUGUGCCAUACAUCUUCAGGACCAGAUAUUCAUAUGAGAGAUGAUCACAAAUUCUUCAUUGACGAGUUUGUUCUUGAACUGUGUUCUUUUUUAACUAGCAAAAGGCUGGACAUCUGAAAUAUAUUCAGGUAUUCGUUCCUGUUUCCCUCCAAAAUCUGUUGCAGUGAGGUUGGAAGUAGAUCCUCCUAGUGAUGUUUAGAUUCAUGGUUUAAGCCUAAGUUCCUGUCUUUUGUUAUAGAAACUCGAGGUUACUAACUUGUCGUUCUGUUAUUUUAGGUUCCUCUAAACACUUCUUUUGCUCUCUGUUAUUUUGUUCUUUGCGUUCCUUUCUUCGUCUUGCAGGUGUUUCGGAAGCAAAUUAUGAUCGGAUCGGUGCAUAUUCUU